GACUGCUAUUAGUUCACUAAAUAAUCUAUAUAUUUUUAUCAAUACCUUCUCAACACUGACCACAAGAGGUUCAGAAAACACUAGGUCUAAGAUCAGAAAACUCCAUGUCUCAGGUCAAGGAGCAGGUCUAGGAGCAGGUCUAGGAGCAGGUCAAGGAGCAGGUCUAAGAUCAGAAAACUCCAUGUCUCAGGUCAAGGAGCAGGUCUAAGAUCAGAAAACUCCAUGUCUCAGGUCAAGGAGCAGGUCAAGGAGCAGGUCUAAGAUCAGAAAACUCCAUGUCUCAGGUCAAGGAGCAGGUCUAGGAGCAGGUCUAAGAUCAGAAAACUCCAUGUCUCAGGUCUAGGAGCAGAUCUAAGAUCAGAAAACGCCAUGUCUCAGGUCUAGGAGCAGGUCAAGGAGCAGGUCAAGGAGCAGGUCUAGGAGCAGGUCUAGGAGCAGGUCUAGGAGCAGGUCAAGGAGCAGGUCAAGGAGCAGGUCUAGGAGCAGGUCAAGGAGCAGGUCUAGGAGCAGGUCAAGGAGCAGGUCUAGGAGCAGGUCAAGGAGCAGGUCUACGAGCAGGUCAGCUCCUCAGAGGGUUAGACAGGCACCGCUGUCACUUUCCACAACUCCUGAAAAAGAGAAAGUCUAACAUUGGAAUUGGAGUUGA